UUCUGAGAAACAGGCUUCCAUGAUCCUUCAAUUCUCACCUUCUUCUUGUCCCACCUUCCCCAGCCUGGCACUCAGCAUUUGCUCCACAGCUAAAGCUGGCUUCCCUUCAUGAGACACAUCUGCUGCUCAGUCGCAAGGUGCCCAGCCUUCUCCGCACAGGUGUUAAGAGCUCCUGCAGGCCGGGCAUGGUGGCUUAUGCUUUAAUCCCAGCACUUUGGGAGGAGAUGGACGGAUCACCUGAGGUCAGAAGUUCGAGACCAGCCUGGCCAACAUGGCGAAACCUGUUCUCUACUAAAAAUACAAAUAAUAGCUGGGCAUGGUGGCAGGCACCUGUAAUCCCAGCUACUCGGGAGACUGAGGCAGGAGAAUUGCUUGAACCCGGGAGGCGGAGGUUGCAGUGAGCCGAGAUCGCGCCAUUGCACUCCAGCCUGGGCGACAGCGUGAGACACCAUCUUAAAAAAAAAAAAAAAAAGGAGCUCCUGCAAUGGGAAGGACCACACUUGCCUCCAAAUGGCGUUUCUCCUUUAGGAGCCAGGAACCAGGCUCCAGCAGGCACAGAGGGGUGCAAGGCAAUGAGACAGGGUCAUAGAUGUUCCCAGGGAGCAGACCCAACCCCAGUUCCAGCUCUGCCUUCUUUAGGAAUAACACGGAAUCACAGAUGCUCCUGGGGCUCAUGACUGGCUCCAACUCCAGUUCUGCCCUUCUAUCUAAAUGUCCCUCUGCUGCAAUUCUGUGGUGGAGCCUUCCCAGAAAACAACUCCAAAUCCUCCCUUAGUUGAGCAAAGUGAGUCCACAACCAGCAGCAGCCAGCUGAGGGGUGAAAGAUGUUUCCCUGCACGUUACAUAUCAAAGGCAAUGUUUUGCUUAAGACAUGACUGCUGGACUGUGGGCAAGUUACUUCCCGUCUCUGGGCCACAGUUUCCUCACGUGAAAUGUUGAAAAAAUAAGACUCAUCCAGCAGGGCUGCUCUAAGGGCCAAAUGAGAGAAUGGAUGUCAGAGCACAGGACCUGGCACCAGAAACACAAACAGGAGGAGUCAGCACACUGUACGGACUCCACAAAUGCUCACUGACCAGAUGGAACUUGACAGCCCAAUAUGCCAAGGUGGCUCACGGUAAAGUGAGCAAGAACACCUUAAGGGAGAGUACAAGGAUGUGAGACCAAGAUCCUCACUGAAGAAUAAAAGCCUGUGUCCACCACAGGGGGCUCCAGCCUGGAGAAGGACACUCUCCCAGAAACUCUGCAAAACCCCACUUACCAUAGAAGAUGGAGAAGCCGUGUGGCAGAGGCACAAGAUAGCAGCCAUGGGGAGAUGUGACCAGUUAGGUGACAAGGAAGCAAUGGAGCUGCCUUUGCAUUUGAAGCUCAAGAUUCAUAUGAGCUGGUCCUUGCCAAGAAACAGGUGCACACUGAGGAGGACCAGAGUGGUGGUAUGCUAGAGCUGUCAUGGAUCAUGGCCCACAAGAGCCAAUUGCUACUUUUUCAGAAUGUUUGCAAACCAGUUACUAAAUGUGGCCAUGGAAGGCUGGGCGCGGUGGCUCACGCCUGUA
rnacentral:lncRNA from 1 species